GGGGAUUUAGCUCAGUGGUAGAGCACUUGUCUAGCAAGCACAAGGCCCUGGGUUCAGUCCCCA
rnacentral:tRNA from 1 species